GCGGGCAUAGUUUAGUGGUAAAACGUGAGCUUCCCAAGCUUGAAUCCCCGGUUCGAUCCCGGGUGCCCGCACCA
rnacentral:tRNA from 1 species